rnacentral:rRNA from 1 species
GAAUUUUGGACAAUGGGGGCAACCCUGCUCCAGCCAUCCCGCGUGUGCGAUGAAGGCCUUCGGGUUGUAAAGCACUUUUGGCAGGGAAGAAAAGGCUCUGGCUAAUACCUGGAGCUGCUGACGGUACCUGCAGACUAAGCACCGGCUAACUACGUGCGAGCAGCGCCGGUAAUAGGACGGGUGCAAGCGUUAAUCGGAAUUACUGGGCGUAAAGCGUGCGCAGGCGGUUCGGCAAGAAGGAUGUGAAAUCCCAGGGCUUAACCUUGGAACUGCAUUCUUAACUGCCGGGCUAGAGUAUGUCAGGGGGGGGUAGAAUUCCGCGUGUAGCAGUGAAAUGCGUAGAGAUGCGGAGGAAUACCGAUGGCGAAGGCAGCCCCCUGGGAUAAUACUGACGCUCAUGCACGAAAGCGUGGGGAGCAAAC